AUUACCGCGGCUGCUGGCACGAAGUUAGCCGGGGCUUUCUUCUCAGGUACCGUCAUCGGACGAUCAGUUACCUCGUCCUUAUUCUUCCCUGGCAACAGAGCUUUACGACCCGAAAGCCUUCCUCACCCACGCGGCGUUGCUCCAUCAGGCUUUCGCCCAUUGUGGAAGAUUCCCUACUGCUGCCUCCCGUAGG
rnacentral:rRNA from 1 species